rnacentral:rRNA from 1 species
AACGAACGCUGGCGGCAGGCCUAACACAUGCAAGUCGAGCGCCCCGCAAGGGGAGCGGCGGACGGGUGAGUAACGCGUGGGAAUAUGCCCUUUGCUACGGAAUAGUCUCGGGAAACUGGGGGUAAUACCGUAUAUGCCCUUUGGGGGAAAGAUUUAUCGGCGAAGGAUUAGCCCGCGUUGGAUUAGGUAGUUGGUGGGGUAAUGGCCUACCAAGCCGACGAUCCAUAGCUGGUUUGAGAGGAUGAUCAGCCACACUGGGACUGAGACACGGCCCAGACUCCUACGGGAGGCAGCAGUGGGGAAUCUUAGACAAUGGGGGCAACCCUGAUCUAGCCAUGCCGCGUGAGUGAUGAAGGCCUUAGGGUUGUAAAGCUCUUUCAGCUGGGAAGAUAAUGACGGUACCAGCAGAAGAAGCCCCGGCUAACUCCGUG